GACGAACCGUGCGAACGUUGUUCGGAAUCACUGGGCUUAAAGGGCGCGUAGGCGGCUCAUCAAGUCAGGGGUGAAAUCCUCCAGCUUAACUGGAGAAGUGCCUUUGAUACUGAUGGGCUCGAGGGAGGUAGGGGCAUGUGGAACUUCUGGUGGAGCGGUGAAAUGCGUUGAUAUCAGAAGGAACACCAGUGGCGAAGGCGAGUCUCUGGACAUUUCCUGACGCUGAGGCACGAAAGCCAGGGGAGCAAACGGG
rnacentral:rRNA from 1 species